AAAGACCACUUUAAGGGAGCUGCCUCAGCUCGGAGACAAGGACUCUUUUUAUUCCUCUGUCUUCUUUUUGCUGCUUUUAACUGAGAGGAGAUGAUGGAGCUCGGCAUUCAUCUUGGACCUCAAGACGGAGUUUCACUGUUCUUACCCAGACUGGAGUGCAAUGGCACAAUGUCGGCUCACUGCAACCUCCGCCUCCUGGGUUCAAGCAAUUCUCCUGCCUCAGCCUCCCAAGUAGCUGGGACUACAGGUGAAAACACCCACUCUGAUAGAAUGAGUCUUGGCAUGUGCCAUUUCUUGAACCCAUUACAAGGGAAAGAGGAAUAUCAGAUGCUGACUGGCUGCAGGCCUUGGUCAAGAUGAGGCCCGCGCAACUGACAUCCACCAACCACAACAUCAUAAGCUUUUAGAAAGUGAUCACUUGAGCAUAGAAAUGAACAGUGUUAUUAUAACACAAAGAUCUCUCAAGCUAUCAAUUCCUAUAGACCCCUGGAUCCCAGAGGGUGGCAUUGUUUGGAGAAGGGCAUGCAAUUGCCCAUAUUUAAGAAGAAAAUGUCAUUUCUUGGAAACUGCUAAAUUGAUGGUCCAUUUUUCUUAGGAAAGAAGAUAAGAACUCUGUUUCAAAGCAGAUCCUUUGACAGCAAUAGUGAAAUCUUUAGGAUUGUUGAGGGUUUGUAGGUAGCUGAACAGUUCCCAUUUAUAGAAAAAGAGUUGCCUACAUUGGAAAAUCUAUCAUUUUGCACUUAAGAAAACCAAAACAUGUAAACAAACAAGGAAAAACAUAUGGUUUCCUCUUAUUGAAAGAAAUUUGUUGAAGGAUUAAAAAGAGGAUUGUUUUGUUUUUCUUUUAAUAAGUGACACAACAUUUUGGUGUGUUUUUGUGAAGAGGUCAAUGUUAGCAACUGGUCAUUUUCAGUGUUGUUUUUUGUAUUCUUGAGAAAUAAAUAUACUCAUCUAAGAAUGGAAUGUCCAGGACAAUGGCCACUGCAUGUGGCUAUUUAACUUUAAUUUCAAAGUUCAUUUCGUGGGUUGCACUGGCCUCAUGUCAAGGACUCAACAGUCACAGUGGGCACUGCACUGAUGAGCACAGGGUAUAAAAUACCUUCACUGCAGAAAGUCCCAUUGCACAGUGCUGCCAAGGCUUAUGUGAGGAAAUGGUGGAGAUGGAUUUGACAUGAUACAGGAAAACAGAAACAGCUUUGCAGCAAGCAGUUCCAUUAAUAUGUAUGCAUGUCCUGAAAUAUUAUGUGUAUGUAUUGGAAAACACAUCACAUCAUGAUUGGUUUGAAUUAUAAUAAUUUAGCAAAGCAUCUUAUUUGUACAUUCAACUGGCUUAAUAGGUUAAUAUGGCUUUGCUUUUGUAUUUGAAGGAGAGCAUGGGGAAUGAUUUAUCAAACAGAAAAGCAGUAUUUGUCAUAAUCGGCCUUCUAGUUUUCAUUUUUUAAGUGAGGCAUCGGAAGAACGCUUUCAGAUUCCUUCUGACCUUCUGAUGUGGAUUCUCUCCCGUUCCUCCUGACAUCAUCUGUUUCUUUUUGGUGAAUCUAAUGUGGAAGAAAUAGAUAUAUAAUUUAUAAUAUAAAAUAAUAUUUAAUUUAUGUAUAGAAAUAUGCUUUUUAAAAAUCCUAUGACUUGCUAUUUUCUUUUUUUUUGAGACGGAGUUUCACUCUUGUUACCCAGGCUGGAGUGCAAUGGCACAAUCUCAGCGCACCGCAACCUCCGCCUCCUGGGUUCAGCUAAUUCUCCUGCCUCAGCCUCCUGAGUAGCUGGGUUUACAGGCACGCACCACCAUGCCCAGCUAAUUUUUUUGUAUUUUUAGUAGAGACGGGGUUGCACCAUGUUGACCAGGAUGGUCUCGAUCUCUUGAUCCACCCGCCUCGGCCUCUCAAAAUGCUGGGAUUAUAGGCUUGAGCCACCGCGCCCGGCCUUACGACUUGAUAUUUUUUUAUUGAAAAAUAUAAAAUUGAUUUGAAAGGAUGGAAGGGAUGACAGUUCUCUGCCAAUUUUCCUUAAAAACCAUUGUUUCCUCUCCUCCUCUUUUUCUAAAAUACCUGUAGGGGAUUUUGUAAAUAUGUCUUAACUAGACAUACUCCUCUGAGAUGCAUCUUAGAUCUUGAGUUUUGGGUUACCAUGUCAGGUCCAGGGUUUAAAAAGGGGCUCACACAUUUUGCCCUUCCCCAAGUCACCUGCCCUUAACAGUAUCAGAUGGUGGAGUCUGUGAGAGAUGACAGUUGCUGUGCUAUUCUGUGUUUUGUUUUGUUUUGAUGUCCCCUCUCUGUUUCAGGUCCCUAUGCUGCACUUUAACAUACAAAAUUAGUUUAGACCUGUUCUCUUCCCUGAAGCUCCCAGUACACCCAAGAGGCAAAGAUGGGGUGUGUAUGAGGGACAGAGAGUGUAGCUCAAGACUCUAGCCAUCGGAACCUAUGUGGCACCUACCAGCUUACACUUUCCACUGAACAGGGUUCAUUCAUGUUUAAGUAAAACCUUCAUUUCAGACUCAAUUUUUAACCAUUUCAUGUCUUUCCUCUGGAGUUUUCCUCCCUGUGGUGCCAUGUAAUCAAGAUUAGGUUUUGAUUAAACAGCUGCUACUCGCUUGUUAGUCCUGUGGCAACCUGAUGUUUCUCAAAUUUUACUUUAGUCCAUGCUGGAUAAGAAAAUUUCUUCAGACCAAAAAGAAAUGUGAUUAAUGAGGUAGAGUGGAGAUGAGGCAGGAAGUACUGAAGUAUGGAUAGAUUCAGGUGCAGGAGGGAUAAACACUUAGGUAAUUGUUUUCAGGCGUUGGAGCUGGGGCAUUUACAGACCAAACUGCGUAGGUAGAAGUCACUCGCCAUCUUUCUCUAUGUCUCUAAUCAUGUUCACUCCCUAAUUGCUAAUCUCUAGCUACCUGUCUCUGUUUAAGGUUAUCUUUCUUUAUCUCUGUUAAAUAUUCUAUUUCUUUGGUUUCUGUCUCUCUUUUGCUUCUCUCUUUGCUUAGGCUCGUGUGCGCUCUUAAUGUGGUUUCUUGUUUCUCCAUCUUACCAUCAAUACUCUUUUUUGUAGCUCUCUGUUUGCCUCUACAUUUCUCAUUGUUUUUCUUCCUCUUUUCCUGAGAAGGGAUCUCCUUAGCCUGUCCCUCAUGGCUCAGAACGAAGUAGUUAUGGAUGCCUCUAAUACAUACAGAUAGGGACCUGUCUCUCAAACAGCAUCCUCUAUUCAGCCCAGAACAUAAAUGCCAUGGGUGCUGAGAACAUCAUUGCUUCACUCACCUUGUCCUUGUCUUCAUGGAAAGCGGACUCUUUAUGAUAGAAUGAUUUAUAAUCCUUUGGGUAUCUACUCAGUAAUGGGAUUGCUGGGUCAAAUGGCAUUUCUGGUUCUGGAUCCUUGAGGAAUGGCCACACUGUUUUUCACAAUUGUUGAACUAGUUUACAGCCCACAAGCAGUGUAAAUGCAUUCCUAUUUCUCCACACCCUCUCCAGCGUCUGUUGUCCCCUGACUUUUCAAUGAUUGCCAUUCUAACUGGCAUGAGAUGGUAUCUCAUUGUGGUUUUAAUUUGCAUUUCUCUAAUUGACCAGUGAUGGUGAGGAUUUUUGUUGUUGUUGUUGUUGUUGUUGUUUUGAGAUGGAGUUUCGCUCUUGUUACCCAGGCUAGAGUGCAAUGGCACAAUCUCGGCUCACCGCAACCUCCGCCUCCUGGGUUCAGGCAAUUCUCCUGCCUCAGCCUCCCGAGUAGCUGGGAUUACAGGCACGCACCACCAUGCCCAGCUAAUUUUUUGUAUUUUUAGUAGAGACGGGGUCUCACCAUGCUGACCAGGAUGGUCUCGAUCUCUUGACCUCGUGAUCCACCUGCCUCGGCCUCCCAAAGUGCUGGGAUUACAGGUGUGAGCCACCACACCCGGCCCCGUGAUGGUGAAUUUUUUUUUUUUUUGCAUACAUUUCUGGACUACAUAAACGUCUUCUUUUAAGAAGUGGCUCUUCAUAUCCUUUGCCCACUUUUUGAUGGUGUUGCUUGUUUCUUUUUUGUGAAUUUGUUUAAGUUCCUUGUAGAUUCUGGAUAUUAGCCCUUUGUCAGAUGGAUAGAUUGCAAAGUCUCCUAUUCUGUAGGUUGCCCGUUCACUAUGAUGAUAGUUUCUUUUGCUGUGCAGAAGCUCUUUAGUUUAAUUAGAUCCCAUUUGUCAAUUUUGGCUUCUGUUGCCAUUGCUUUUGGUGUUUUAGUCAUGAAGCCUUUGCCCAUGCCUAUGUCCUGAGUGGUUAUGCUUAGGUUUUCUUCUAGGGUUUUUAUGGUUUUAGGUCUUUCAUUUAAGUCUUUAAAUCAGCUUGAGUUUAUUUUUGUAUAAGGGGCAAGGAAAGGGUCCAGUUUCAGUUUUCUGCAUAUGACUAGCCAGUUUUCCCAACAUCAUUUUUUAAAACGGAAAUCCUUUCCCUAUUGCUUGUUUUUGUCAGGUUUGUCAGAGAUCAGAUGGUUAUAUAUGUAUCGCAUUAUUUCUGAGGCCUCUGUUCUAUUUCAUUGGUCUAUGUAUCUGUUUUGGUACAGUACCAUGCUAAAGAAAAUGUGACACAUAUACACCUUGGAAUACUAUGUAGCCAUAAAAAGGAUGAGUUCACAUCCUUUGCAGGGACAUGGAUGAAGCUGGAAACCAUCAUUCUCAGCAAACUAACACAGGAACAGAAAACCAAACACCGCAUGUUCUCAUUCAUAAGUGGGAUUUGAAAAAUGAGAACACAUAGACACAGGAAGGGGAACAUCACACACCAGGGCCUGUCAAGGGGUGGAGGCUAGAGGAGGGAUAGCAUUAGGAAAAAUACCUAAUGUAGAUGAUGGGGUGAUGGAUGCAGCAAACCGCAUGGCACAUGCGUACCUAUGUAACAAACCUGUAAUUCUGCAUGUGUAUCCCAGAACUUAAAGUAUAAUUCAAAAAAAGAAAGAAAAGAACAAAAGUAGUUGAGCCUUGGCCAUAAAAAGAGUUUGUUCAAAUUCUCAUACUUUUCUAUUUAUUUUUAAACAAUAUGAGCCUGCACAGAUACCAACACAGCAAAAGCCACUCAUAGCUCAUCUCUACAAUUGCAUCCUAAUUGAAAACAAUUUCCCUUAAGGAAUUAAGGGCACUGAUUAGGAGUGUGUGUUUCAGAAGUGGGCAUCCAUGGGUGUGAUUCAACCUCUGGUACUGACUAGAUGUGUGGCUUUCAGUGAGUGACUUCACACCUCUGUGUCCUUUCCUGAAAAGUUGGUUUAAUGACAGUAGUUCCUUCUCAGGGUGUCUGCUCUUGCCUCGGUAUCCACUUGGACUGCUCUGGUCUUAAUCUUUACCUGCUCGGCUCAUGCCUACAUUGUUUUGCCGAAGCCUACUUUCCGUAGGCUUUCCAAACCAGCUUUUUUACUCCCAUUUAUGUAGAUCAUAAUUUUUUAAAGAAUUCUUCAUCACUGAACAUUUGCAAAGAUCUUUUUAUUUUUGCAAAGCUGGCAGACGGGGUAUUAUUACAUCUACCUUUAUGAAAGGGAAAUGAAGAUCGGAGAGAUUAUUGCUGGGUCUAAGUCACCAGGAAGUUGGUGGCAGAACCGGGACUUGAACCCAUGUCUCCUGAUUCUCCUCAUAGCCAUUCAUCUUGCUUGCGUAAGUUGUUGGUGUAAUGAUCAGUGUCUGUAGUUGAAAAAGCAAAGCAUGUGUACAAGUGAGGGAAUCAUUGGUACUCCUGAGUUCCUGUGUAGGACAUGAUACUUUUAGAUCACAAAUCCCUCAGUGAGGUCAGAUUGCGAAAGACAUUGAUUUAUUUUUUAUUAGAACACUUUGGUUGGGACUUUUCUGAUUACAAAUAAGAGAAACUCGCUGGAGCUAGCUGGAGCACAGAUAGAGAUUUGUUAUGCUAACAGCACAUCUCACUGACCCCAAAGACAGAGAAGGAGCCCCUCCUCAGGAAUGAGCUGGAACUAAGGCUCCAGGCUUAUACAAAGUUUCUUCCACUUUGCAGCUCUGCUUCUGUGAGUACCUCUGCUUCAUGCUUCCCUGCCUUCUCCACUUCCCAGCCCAUAUGGCAGGAAGUAGCUACCAAUCAUUCUUAAGUUAACAUCUCUUUCUUUCCAAAGGAGAGGCAAACCAAGGCUGGAUUCCAUGAUUUCUUCGAAUUUCCCAAGGGAAUGGUGCAUUGGCCCAAUGUGUGUCAUCUUUGGACCAAUCCACAGCAGCCAGGUGGGCAGAGGUAUAUUGACAGGAUGGCUGCCAGGCAACGCUGUGAUGUUUCUGUGACAGUGGGGUCAACAAAAGGAACAUUCUCAACAGCUGCUUGUGGCAGCAUUGGUUAAUGGCUUCAGUCAUAUUCAACAAACAUUAUUUGAAUGCUAUGCCAAACAGGUGGCACUGUGCUAGACACUGGCUCAAAGAAAUGCAUUCCUUGGGCCAGACGCGGUGGCUCACGCCUGUAAUCCCAGCACUUUGGGAGACCAAGGCGGGUGGAUCACGAGGUUAAGAGAUCGAGACCAUCCUGAUCAACAAGGUGAAACCCCGUCUCUACUAAAAAUACAAAAAUUAGCUGGGCAUGGUGGUGUGUGCCUGUAAUCCCAGCUACUCGGGAGGCUGAGGCAGGAGAAUUGCCUGAACCCAGGAGGCGGAGGUUGCGGUGAGCUGAGAUCGCACCAUCGCACUCCAGUCUGGGUAACAAGAGCAAAACUCCAUCUCAAAAAAUAAAUAAAUAAAUAAAUUUCUUUGGUUCCGUUCCCAUUAUCUACAGGGAAAACAUUCAUCCUCAAUGUCAAUUUAUCAGCUUUCAGCUUGCCAAUAGAGAGGUUAAAGGUGCACCUAUUCUUUAUUCUGUAGGGCUGGUGGUGAAUAUUAUUCUUCAUCAAGUAAAUAUGUUAAUGAUAUGCAUAAGGCCUAUUUCCCAACCGUUCUCCUUGUUAGUGACUUCUAGUAUGCUCAGAUAGUAGGAAUUUACCAUGGGGUUAUCAUUAAAACGUGCUGCUCCAACAUUUUCCCCUCCUUACCUCUAAUAAUUACUAUUCCAAAAAUGUAAAGACAACACUUUGAGCUUAGCUGAUGUCUUAGUCUAUUUUGUGUUGCUAUAAAGGCAUACCUGAGGCUAGGUAACGAGAUUUAUUUGGCUUAUAGUUCUGAAGACUGUACAAGAAACAUGGAGCUGUCAUCUGCAUCUGGUGAGGACUCAGGGAGCUGCCACUCAUAGCAGAAGGCAAAGGGAAGCUGACAUCACAUGGCGAGAGGAAGGAAGGAAGAGAAGACUAAGGUUCCAGUCUAUUUUUAACAACUACAUCUUGCAGGAAGUAAGAAUGAAGGUGCAUUCACUUCCAUGAGAAUGACACCAAGCAAUUAAUGAGGAAUCUGCUUCCAUAACUCAAGCACCUCCCACGGGGCCCAUCUACAACACUGGGGAACCAAAUUUCAGCAGGAUUUGGAGGGAACAAAUAUUCAAACUAUAUUAGCUUAUUUUAAAACUUAUUCUCACUAGGUACUACCAUAUUUAAGAUGCCUUUCAUGUCCAGAAACUAAUAGGUAGUGGAAUUUGAAAUUACAUACUGUCUUAGAUUAACUUAAACUUGCUACUUAACUUUCAGCAAAUGCCACUAUCCAUAUAUAGUUAGUGUUUUGGGGCCUCAAUUUCCCCACCUUCAAGCAGAAAUUACUGCCUCACUCCCUUCUCGAGAGAUAGUAUCUAUAAUUAGUACUCUCUUACAGCUCUUUCCAGCUUUGAGAUUAUGCAGAGAAGCCAAUAGAUAUGUUAUUAUUUUAAAACUGAAACUAAUUUGCGCAAAAUGAAGAGAAAAAGAGGAGUGCCAUUGUGAAGUUAGAAAACAAUGUCCACAAGACCACUCUCACUUCUGACACCAGCUGCAAGUUCAUAGAUCCUCAAAAUCUUUGUUUUGAUAAUUUGCUAGAGGGACUCACAAGAUUGAAAUUAAGCUGUUAUACUCAUGGUUACAUUGUAUCACAGCAGCAAAACUGUGAAUUAACAGCAGGAAGUGAAUGAGGAAAUAGAGCCAAAUUCAGGAAAGUUACAAACAUGGACCUUCCAGUGGCCCUCUUCUCAUUAAGUCAUAACCAAUGUUACUUUUUGGCAAUGAUGCAUGGCAAUACACGCUGAAGAGAGCCAGUCAAGGGAGCUCAUUUGAGCCAUGGUGUCCAGAGUUUUUGCUGGGGCUCAAACAAAUAAUGUUGCUAGAUCAUUUCAUGUGGUUGGUCUCCAUCUUCAGUCCUUUCAGAGGUCAAGCUGACACUGUGUUAACCAAAGCCCCUACCCUAAAUUACUUGAUUUUGUAUGGCCAAAGAAUCCCAGAAAAACAAAGAUACUUUUAUUACGCCAGACACUUCAAGGGCUUAGAGGUUACCUCCCAGGACCCAAACAGAGCAGAUCUCGCUUUGACAAAGCUGAAUUCUUUACUACACUGUCAUUUACUCUCAGGGUUGCUAGAGGUUGAAUUUAAGUCUUCUUUUUAUGUUCAUAAAGGAGGAGGUUGACGUCUUCACUGGUAAAAUUUUAGCUGCUCAUAAUGUUGCUAAAGUUCUAAUACUAGAUAGCUCCAUGAAGAUUCUGAUCCUGAAAAAAUAAAUCCCUUUAUUUCAGUUCAUGUCUUAUGCUGCUCACUUUCUACUGCUUACAUAGCAGAACUUCCUGCUAAUACUGAGGGGUGAGCUUCACGGCUUCCGCUUGCAUGUGUGCUCGGCGUGCUUUCGAGGAUCAAAGACACCCUGCGUCCCACUGUUUGACCAACAUGAAAAUGGAAUGGCAAGCAGUCCCUGUACAUAAACAUAAAUAUACUUUUAAAGCAUAAAACUCAAAGCUGAUUCACAAUAGACAGCUAAAUGAAAGGCUCAUCCAUCGAUGUAUCAAGAGUCUUUGGGAGCUUCUGCUACUAGUGAAUUAUUUAAAUGAAGCUUUACCUCAGAGAAAUAACUCUCUCCUUGUGCCAGAGGUGCAUAGGAGCUGCCCUAGGGAUUUGAGGACGUUAUUAAUGGAAGCUACAAUAGGCAGCUGCAAAUACAAUGGAAAAGCUUGAAGAAUAGUCUUGGAUAAAUGUAUAUACAUAUAUGAAAAAAGCACAAGUUUUGAUCAGAUUUGAUUUAUUUGUCGCAAAAUAAAAUCACUCUACUUUUGAGACUCCCUUUAAGAAAAUCAGUGCAGUGUCUUCAUCGUGGCAGUUGUACAGGGAGGCUCUAUGGUUGACGUGUGGGAGUUUGUGGAAUGCACAUGUACAGAUGAAGAUGUCAUUAAAAUAUGCUGGAGCUUUAUCUUCAGAUCUCUUAAGUGUUCAGUCUUUCUUUUAUUUUUUGUUUUUGAGACGGAGUUUCGCUCUUGUUACCCAGGCUGGAGUGCAAUGGCACGAUCUCAGCUCACCUCAAUCUCCACCUCCUGGGUUCAGGCAAUUCUCCUGCCUCAGCCUCCUGAGCAGCUGGGAUUACAGGCACGCGCCACCGUGCCCAGCUAAUUUUUUUGUAUCUUUAGUAGAGACGGGGUUUCACCAUGUUGACCAGGAUGGUCUCGAUUUCUUGACCUUGUGAUCCACCCGCCUCGGCCUCCCAAAGUGCUGGGAUUACAGGCUUGAGCCACCGCGCCCGGCCAUGUUCAGUCUUUCUUUCUCAUCCCUUCUUUAUUGCCCAGGGUCUUAUUCUGAUUAAGCUUCCCCUGCUCUGAAAGGCUGCAGGCCAGAAUGACCUCACUGAGGAGUGAAUGACUGAAAGACACUCUGGGAUCAGCUGGAUGUUCUGGGAAGCAACAUGACCUCUUUCUGGAGUAGAUAUCCUGUUCACAGUCUUAGCAGAAAUCACCCUUUUAUGGGGCCAUAUUUCCUAAAGCGCACUUACACACCACAUUCACAGUUUUUGGCAAAUGACCUUAACAUUUGUAUCUUUAUAUGCUUAAUAUUUUUCUUUAAGUUAAUUUACUUUUUAGACUUAAAAAGAAAAACUAAAUUUAAAAGUAAAAACACACAUCAAGUAUGCAGUUCAUGAAACUAUGAGUUUUGUGUGUGUUACCUUU